rnacentral:rRNA from 1 species
AGAGUUUGAUCCUGGCUCAGAUUGAACGCUGGCGGCAGGCCUAACACAUGCAAGUCGAACGGUAACACAGAGAGCUUGCUCUUGGGUGACGAGUGGCGGACGGGUGAGUAAUGUCUGGGAAACUGCCCGAUGGAGGGGGAUAACUACUGGAAACGGUAGCUAAUACCGCAUAACGUCGCAAGACCAAAGUGGGGGACCUUCGGGCCUCACACCAUCGGAUGUGCCCAGAUGGGAUUAGCUAGUAGGUGGGGUAAUGGCUCACCAAGGCGAUGAUACAUAGCCGACCUGAGAGGGUGAUCGGCCACAUUGGGACUGAGACACGGCCCAAACUCCUACGGGAGGCAGCAGUAGGGUAUCUUCGGCAAUGGACGAAAGUCUGACCGAGCAACGCCGCGUGAGUGAAGAAGGUUUUCGGAUCGUAAAGUACUUUCAGCGAGGAGGAAGGCAUUAAGGUUAAUAACCUUAGUGAUUGACGUUACUCGCAGAAGAAGCACCGGCUAACUCCGUGCCAGCCGCCGCGGUAAUAC